CAGCAGUGACUGACUUGAAAGCUGGCUGGGGCUCUCUUUGCACAGACUGGGGAGGGGGGCUGGAGUCGCGUUGAUGGUGUACCCUAACUCCAGCUGGGCAAGGCCUCAGGUUCCUCGGUGAAGAGUGUGGACCAGCCAAUGAGCCCUCCGACGUGUGGAUGAAACGGCUGGCUUUUGUUUAGUUUUGUUUUAACCUCCCCAAGGAGACUUUGAUCAGCUCCACCUCGAAAAUGUUCGCGAAAGAUGCGGAGAGCCUGAGGGACUGCGGGGCAGCAACGGGCUCCGGCCUAGCCCGGCCCGCCGGCCCCCAGAGGCUCCAGGUUAAAGGGCAGAGCCAAGGUCGCUGACGCCUCUUUUCUCACCAGUAACAGCUGCCGCCCAAAUUAUACCCCUCAGGAAGCGAAUGAAUUGUUCCUUUCUCCUUGCUCCCUGCUGCCUUCUCCAAAGCAUACUGUCAGUGGCGUCUCACCUCCCUCCUUCCCAGUGACAAGUUCAGGGGUGGCGGUGCCCUGCUGGAAGAUAGUGUGUGGGUGCCUUACCUCUAGAACUCAGUGGGACGCUUGGCUCUUAGUGGUCUGCACUGAGGAACCACCCCACCUCCCCUGCGGCUCCUCUGAACACUGGGGACAGACUGCGGACCGACCACUUGGGGUUCCUAGGGUGGUGAGCCCAAAGUCCAGAAGUCCCUUUUACGCAUAAAUGAAGUUCCAGACCGAGUAUAGAGGAGCAGUCGGCCUUGUGCCCUAAGCUGUAACGCUUGUGCGCGCCGAGAGCGGUUCUGCCAACCGCCUUGGCUUUGAUUAUGUUUGUCAAGGUCUUAGGGAGGGGUGGCGGAAGAAUUGACCACCCGUGCUAAAGAAGCGGUGCUGGUGGCUGCGGCGCGCAAUCGUGGCGCCCAGAGGGUUGCUUCCAUCUCCUUCGCCUCCAGCUACGUGAGAAUAACCCUCCAUUAGGAACCUGAAACACAAAUGCCGCCGGGUCCGGGACCAGGACCGGGACCCGGCUGGGUGUCCGCCCCCUCCCCCCCAUACCCAACCCCACUCGCAGCCUCAAGCUUCCUCCACCAAGGACUGGGGAGUCUCGCGUUCCAUCCUCGAGAAAAAAUCAGAACUCACAGUAUUACUAUUUUUCACGACCAUCUAGUUACACAAACUGGGGAAGUGGUUUGGGAUCUCAUUUUAUACGUUGUCACCGCUUUUGUUCACCCUUCUAAAAUACCAGAGUCCAGGUUUGAAUUCCCCCUCCCCCUUGUUCGUGUUGUACUGCAGCUUAAGACAAUAUGUUCAGGCCGAAAUUGGUUUUAAGGCCCGGUUGGCCCAGAAUUUACCAGCCCUGACAUCCUGUGCGCUGGGGCCCUUCUCAAAGUCGGAGGUUUGAGGUAUGCCCUCCAGGCGUCAUAACACAUCCCUCACCCCACAACUAACUCUCUCUCUCUCUCUCUCUCUCUCUCUCUCUCUCUCUCUCUCUCUCGUGUGUCUGCCUCUAUGCAUCCCAAAGCACAGACCUGGACCCUUCCUGAAUACCGGGACAGCUAGUAUGAGCCCUGUAAAUUUAAAAGGUUUGGUCUCCAUAAGCUAUCUUUGGACAAGCAUUUUUCAUUUACCAGUUUUUGUUUUUAUUUAAACCGGGCUUUUAUUUGCCCAACUAGUAACAAAUGGCUUUGCUCUAUCUCAGAGACCUACUGGGUAUUUAAUCCACAAUUUGUAAAUGAUUUUUAUAUAAAAACUCUGAUUUCACUGA